rnacentral:rRNA from 1 species
UACGUAGGGUGCGAGCGUUGUCCGGAAUUAUUGGGCGUAAAGAGCUUGUAGGCGGUCUGUUGCGUCUGCUGUGAAAAUCCGGGGCUCAACCCCGGACUUGCAGUGGGUACGGGCAGACUAGAGUGUGGUAGGGGAGACUGGAAUUCCUGGUGUAGCGGUGAAAUGCGCAGAUAUCAGGAGGAACACCGAUGGCGAAGGCAGGUCUCUGGGCCACUACUGACGCUGAGAAGCGAAAGCAUGGGGAGCGAACAGG